rnacentral:misc_RNA from 1 species
AUAGGUGGCGCAAAUUAAUCAUGGCGGCAAAUAAGGAGGCAAUAGCAAUUGUGCUAGAUGUUGGACCCUCCAUGAACUCUGCCCCACCUGGAGUGGCCACACCCCUUGAGACAGCUCUAGAAGCCAUCACUAUGAUUCUGCAGCGUAAGAUGUUUGCAGAGUCAAAGGAUGAGAUAGCUUUGAUACUGGUGGGCUCUGAUGACACGGAUAACCCACUUGCAAAUGGAGACUGCUACGAGCAUAUUUCUAUAGCCAAUCCCCUCGGCAUUGUGGACUUUGACUUCCUUCAGCUUGUACAGAAUGACAUCAAGGCAAGCAGUACCGCAGGAGAUUUUCUGGAUGGGAUAGUUGUAGGAAUGGACCAUCUGGUAAAUGCCGUACAGGGUAAGAAGGGAUUUAACAACAAGCGUCUGAUAUUGAUGUCGGAUCUCGGAGGAGAGUUCGGUGACGAUCAGCUUGACAGUAUCAUUGGUAGUAUAAAAACUUCGGAGACAGAAUUAAACGUCAUUGGUCCUGACUAUGAGGAGGAUGAUGAGGAUGGUAGCGGGGAUAAAGGCGGGGCACAGAACGGUUCGGCAAAACCUAAAACUCCACAACAGCAAGCUGGAACAGCUCUCAUUAAAUACAUCCUGGAUGAGGUGGAUGGAGAAUGUUACUCUUUCAGUGAGGCACUACCAGCCCUGUCGUAUUUUCAGUCGAGACAAGUGCGGCCAACAGCAUGGAAAUGUCCUUUGGAGAUUGGACCUGAUCUCAAAAUACCGAUCAAUGGUUACGUUAAGUUGAAGGAUUUCAAGCUGAAACAGUCUUGGAAGAAGGUGUAUGCCAAGGACACUGACAUGGAGGUUGGAACAUUGAGAACAUAUCACAAAAAUGAUGAAGAGGAGACAGAGGUAGACAAAGAGGAUAUGGUAGAAGGUCAUCGCUAUGGUAACACACUGGUCCCAAUGACAGAUGAUGACAAACUAAACAUGAAAUACAAGGCAGAGAAAUGUUUCAAAGUUCUAGGAUUUACUAAGGCUGAAAAUGUAAAACGACAUGAGAUGAUGGGAGAUGGUGUCAUGAGUGUAGUUGCAGAGAAAGGAGACGAGGCAGCAGCUGUGGCAUUGUCGGCCAUUAUUAAUGCACUGUAUGAGACAAACAUGGUUGCCAUAGCGAGAAGAGUUUAUAAUGCAGCUUCUAGUCCCAGAGUUGGUUGUCUCAUCCCACAUUUAAAGGCAGGGUAUGAAUGUUUAUAUUGGUUUGAAUUACCUUUUAUGGAGGAUGUACGACAAUUUACAUUCGGAUCAUUGCCUGUGAAAGAAGAAAAUCAGACCAAUAAAAAAUACAAACCAUCAGCGGAUCAGUUGUCAGCUGUGGACAGUUUGAUAACAAAUAUGGACCUAAGUACAGCAGGACAGGAUGAGGAGGAUAAACCAUGCGAAGUUUUGAAACCAAAGUUAACAUUUAACCCACACUUCCAGAGAUUAUAUCAGUGUUUACAACAUAGAGCACUCAAUCCGGAUGAUCCACUGCCAGAUUUGUCUCCCAUUAUAGCCAAUUCUCUAAAACCACCUGAAGAAGUUCUCACAAAUUGUUCACAAAGUAUGGAGACACUGAAGGAGAAGUUCAAGCUAGAGGUUGUGAAGAAAAAGGAAGAGAAGACAGGAGAAAACAUGUUUCAGGAAAAAGGAGAGUCUGACGGACCCCCUGCCAAGAAGGUCAAGGUCGAUGAUAACUUGGAUGGAGGCAUGGAAGAUCUCGCUAAAUCUAAAGUCACAGAGGUUGGUUCAACUACUCCUGUAGAUGACUUUAUUGCCAUCGUAAAUAGGAAAGAUGAAGAUAAAUUUGAAGAAGCAUGUGGACAAAUGCAGAAAAGAAUACAACAGAUUGUGCUGGACAGUUUUGGUGACCAGUUCUAUGAGAAAGCCAUGGACUGUCUGAAAUGUCUAAGAGAACAGUGUAUUAAGAAAUUAGAGGCCAAAUCGUACAACACAUUUAUUAAAGAGUUCAAGGAAACGCUGAUUUCAAAAGCAAGGAGGGACUUCCUUGACAAAUUAUGUACUGACAAGCAGGGCUUGAUCUCAAAACUGGAAUGUGAGGAUGGUGCAUCAGAGGACGAGGUCAAACAGUUUAGUGAGGGGGAGGAGUCACAGAAACCGGAACAGCCAAUGGAAGAAGACUCAGCUGAUGAUCUGCUGGGUGAAUUGUAGAAGAGGAGCACCUGCCACAAAUGAGCACAUUGCCACAUAGAAAAAAAAAAGAUUUAUCUUGUUACUUUCUGACCAAGAAUGUUUGUAAUAAUUUGUAAUUGACAGAAUUCUCUCUAUGAUUAUCUUUACAGAAUAUAUGUUUAAAAAAGCCGGGGUUCAAGAUAAUAAAACUUGAGUUUAGAGACCAGUUUUAGCAUUUGGCCCGACUUGGAGAUCAGUUUUAAAACUGUAGCAUUUUGCCCAAGGUUUUAAAACUUACGUUUGGUGACUAGUCUAAGAACAAGCAUUUGGCCCAAGGUUAUAAGACUUGAAUUUGGAGACAAGUUUUAAAACUGAAGCAUUUGGCCCAAGGUUAUAAGACUUGAAUUUGGAGAUUAGUCAUAAAACUGAAGCGUUUAGGCCAAGGUUAUCAGACUUAAGUUUUUAAAAUGUCUUCAUGGUCCUAAAUCCCUAGUUCAGAGACCAAUCUUUAAACUGAAGCUUCUGAUAGGUUGUUUCAGAGCACUAAAUUUGAAAUUGACCAAUGGCAAACUUGUAUUUUGAUACUGUAGCAUCCUAGCAUAGACCUCUCUGAAGUUAGAUCAAAUGGUUCAGCUUGGCAUCGUAAAGUGGCAGCUAGAGCUAAAAAAAAAGAAGAAGAAAAACCUUUUCUUCAUCAAACUUUAUAUGUAGCAUUCAUUUAUUGAUCUCUCUUGCAUUUGUUCAGAUAGUUGCACUAUGCAUCUUUCAGGGGCUGUAGGGGUAAGAAAUAUUUCCAAAAAAAACAACUUAAGAACCACUGGAUUGAUUUGUAUUGGACCUGUCUUAGGUGUGUUGAAAAGGUUCCACUUGGCUCCUUCUAGCGGCUGUCUGAGCUAAAAAUAGAAGAAAAUAUUUCAACUUGCACUUGGUCUGUAGCAUCCUUGGAUAGAUCUUUCUUAAUUUAUUCAGUAUUACAGCUUGACUUCAGAACAUAAAGAGAAAAGUCUAGUUUCCCAUGAAGCUCUUGAUGGAUCUUUACCAGACUUGCCUUCAAUACCCUUGGUUUCAUUUUCAUUUGAAUGGUUACGAAUGCAGGCCAUCACAGCAAAAAAUAGAAGAACUGUUUAAUAACUAGUAAUGAACUUCAUAAUGCAUUUUCACCAAACUUGGUCAGAAGGUAGUUCAAAUGGAAAAAGGUUUUCAGGUUAGUGAUUAGGGCCCAUUUAGGCCUCUUGUUUUAAUAAGUACAAAAUGUAUACUUUGCGAAAGGUACAGAUGUAUAUAUGAUAUGGCUUUAUACUGUACAUUCAUCUGUGUAUAAGAAGUACCUGCAAAUAAAUUUGUUAUAAUUCUGUGUUAUUUUAUUGUAUAAGAAUGUUUUGAUAUGUAAAGUAGAUUUCUGUCUUUUUUUUGUUUUACAUGUUGGUUACCUUUAUUACAAUAAAAAUGCAGCUUAGAAUAUUUCUUGUAGAUGUUCCAAAACCUGUAGAUGUUUUCUAUAUGAAGUGAAAUAAAAGUGUGUAUAGGAUAAUUGCAUGUGAAUUCAGUCUUUGAAAUAGGGCAUUGACUGGUAAACCAUUUGAAUAUUAACUAUGUCCUUCAGACAAGUCAAAGAUAAUGUUUUUUAGAUUACAAGAAAGUUUCUUCAUUAUGGGCCAAUGGGGAAAAAAAGCAAGAUUUAAAGAAUUUUUUCUUUGAUCACAGAAUUUUGGACAAACUAAGAAAAAAUGAAAUUCGUUUUCAACUUGCUAUCACUUCAUAUUGCAUGACCUACUUAUAUUUUUCUUUUUAGGUUUGUUACCAUGCCCUGUAUCAAUUCACAAGUUAUAUAUAUGACUAGGCAAAUCUAUUUUGAUUCAGUUAAAACAACUUGUAACUUUGCAAUAAAAAAUUAUUUUUAAAUACUCUGUAUAUUACUCACACUGGCCUAGUUUUUGUGGAUUUCCUUACUAGUUGCUUACAUCCACGAAAUAAAUACCCACACAAGAAAUAAUAUUGAUGGUAGUUUUCUGUUUAUUUUAAUUUAUAAGAUUUCAAAUACUGUGAAAUUAUUUAAUUUUGUAGGCUUUAAAUUGCAUAAUUUCUGCAAAUUUGGAAACAUGAUUUUUUUUUUUUUGAAUUUUAAAUGUAAAGGAUAUAAUAAUUAUAAAUGGGCAUUGUUUGUUUGGAUAAAAUUUUGUUGAUUGAUGCAGUUAUGAAGUUCACAAAAAAAUAGUCCACCAUAAAUAAUAAUGAUUUUACAGUAAAAUAUUUCAUUUCCCCCCAAGCACUAAUAAUUUUGGCUGAAACCACAAAUUAUAGAGGAACUGGGAGUGAUGACACAGUAUUAUUCUUAUAAAAAAAUGUAGCUAUAAUAUUUACACGUUACUAAACUUUGAAACCACAAAUGAAAAUAUAUUUACGACAGUUCUCCACAGGAAGAGACGUUCAUUCAUUCAUUUGCAUUUUAUGGCAUUGUAUCAUUUGUAAAUGCUUUUUUUUUUCUAUUUUGUUAGUGAUUUUAAUAAAUACUAAAGUUGAAACAGAAAA